CUAAGAAUCUUGCGCAAUGGGCGAAAGCCUGACGCAGCAAUUCCGCGUGGGGGACGAAGGCCCUCGGGUCGUAAACCCCUUUUGCGAGGGAAGAAGUUCUGACGGUACCUCGCGAAUAAGCCACGGCUAACUACGUGCCAGCAGCCGCGGUAAUACGUAGGUGGCGAGCGUUGUCCGGAUUUAUUGGGCGUAAAGAGCCCGCAGGCGGUUUGCUAAGUUUCAGGUGAAAUCUCCUGGCUCAACUGGGAGGGGUCCUGGAAAACUGGCAGACUUGAGGCAGGGAGAGGGAUGUGGAAUUCCCGGUGUAGUGGUGAAAUGCGUAGAUAUCGGGAGGAACACCAGUGGCGAAGGCGGCAUCCUGGCCCUGUCCUGACGCUCAGGGGCGAAAGCGUGGGGAGCAAACCGGAUUAGAUACCCGGGUAGUCCACGCCGUAAACGAUGAGUACUAGGUGUAGGGGGUAUCGACCCCCUCUGUGCCGAAGCCAACGCGAUAAGUACUCCGCCUGGGGACUACGGCCGCAAGG
rnacentral:rRNA from 1 species